GCGGCAAGUGUGGGGCUGUGCGGUGUCGGGGAGGCAGCAGGAAGACGCACAGUGUGUUUGAGCAGCACCAGGAUGGAGGAGCCCACUGGGAACCUUCCCACCCGGAGAGACGUCAUUCUUUCCGAGUCGUGCUGGGAUCACAUCACCAUAACAAACCUGCACUAAACUCGCUGGGCAUUUGGAAAACUGUAUUUAGAGCUGUUCCUGGGUCUGCAUCAAAGACCGC
rnacentral:lncRNA from 1 species